rnacentral:rRNA from 1 species
GCGAAGUGCGGGCCGAGGGGGGCGGGAAUACGGAGGGGGCAAGGUGUAAUCGGAAUUGCUGGGCGUAAAGCGCGCGUAGGUGGGUCGUGAAGGUGGAUGUGAAAGCCCCGGGCUCAACCGGGGAACUGCAUCCAAAACUGGCGAGCUAGAGUACGGUAGAGGGUGGUGGAAUUUCCUGUGUAGCGGUGAAAUGCGUAGAUAUAGGAAGGAACACCAGUGGCGAAGGCGACCACCUGGACUGAUACUGACACUGAGGUGCGAAAGCGUGGGGAGCAAGCAGGAUUAGAUACCCGAGUAGUC